AAGCAGUUUACCCUCUGAGGCCCUCGCUGUCAGCUCAGCGCUCAAACAUCCGUGCCCUGCUGUCGGGCCUGACAGUCUUCAAUUGUUCAUUCUCUGAUUCCACCUCACCAGUUAAUGGAAGUGAAUCUUCUGAGGGGGAGAGAGACCGUCCCUAUUGAUCCAGAUAUAGAAAAAAAAUCUGUCAGCUCGGCCUUGGGAUACUAAAGACAAAUUUGACAGAUCAGGAUCUAUCAUGAAAAGUGUUAUGCAACCUACCUUGGAAAUGUAUAUUUAUAUGAAGAUUGAAUAACAAUGAGGAUCUCUUUCUCACUGUGUAACAACUGUGACUGUCAGAGUCAUGUCUAAGUGUCAAGGUAUAUAGGAGGAAUGGGGAAAGGAAAAAUGGAUUAAAAGAACAGCUUCAACAAAGAAGAAAAUGUAAUUAAGCAAUGUUCCAUCUUUUCUCAUUCCUCUUCCCCAAACGAGAUUAUUGCGAUAUGCACAACACCUGUGUGUCGUGACUCUUCUGUAUCUGGCUAAUCCAAAAGGUACCUGCCAUGGCACUGCCUAUGAUCAAUAACUAAUUAGGAAAAUAGCACUUCUUUCUAGGAUUCCUGGUCAAAAAAAUUGCUUUUGGCUGAGAGAGGAGGGAAAAGGUCACCACUUUGACAUCGUCGCAAGUCUUUGAAAAUCCAGUGGACCGUCCAAUUGAAUUACUGUCCCAAACUAAUUGAUAUAAAUUUGAACAGAAGAAUGCUUGUUACUGCAGAAUGUCAUAAUGAUAUCCUUGGCAAGAACACAUCAGUGAGAUGAAAAAAAAAACCAGGCACCAAUUACAAAUAUCCAAUCAUUGCUCUGGAAUCAGAGAUUAGAAACCAAACAAACAGGGAAAAUUCAUGCUCCAUUCCAUUGUCACAUUCAGGCAUGUAUAUUAAGAAUCAUAUUAUAGUCUUUCUUUCUUAUCUUACUUACAUAAAGGAAAAGAGUCUCUCUUUGAAACUAAUCAACUCCUGAUUAUAACUCAUGGAAGGAUUGAAUGGCUUCUACCAUAGAGCAUUACCUAAGGGCACUGUAUGCAAUAAUUGAUGGAUUCAGCAUUGGCCAACCAGUACAGAUGUUGCUAUCAGAAUGACACAACUUGGCAGUUUUUGCUUGUGAAAAGACCAGCAUGAAACACUGCAGGCAUGAAAAUUAAACCCUUUUGCCCCUUGAGAGGUAUCCAGUGAAGAGGCCAAUGACAGGAUAGCUAAUAGUACAGCCCCCUGCAUGAUAUUUUUCAUGUUAACACACUGCCUGAAAGAUAGGUUAGACUCUAAAAAUCAGCCAGUAUCACUGCUCUGCCAGAACAGGGUGUAGCACACUUAUGGUGACUCAAAGUGCAGCAUGUGACCAUCUUUUUGUGGAUACAAUUACAAUU